AAGAGACCUUUAGAACAGCUGGUCAUUAUGCCAACUGGGUGUCCACACUAAGUUCGGCAUCAUUAUGGUGACUUCCUGGGAGCAGGGGACUAGCAGGUUGCCUAAGGAUGGGUGAACUGGCCCAGGUCAGAAAUGAAGCAGGUCAGAACUCCCAUGCUGAUCGGUAGUGGGACUGCACCUGGGCAGCAUAGCGAGCUCUUGGCUCUU
ensembl:misc_RNA Metazoa_SRP Metazoan signal recognition particle RNA